ACAUGGUCUAAAUACGCCUUUGCACAGAAGCACCAAAGACCUGUGAAUGAACAGGUGGAAACUGUAAUAUGCAGCUCCGCCCUGUCUCUUCCUUUCUUCCUUCCUUCCUUGGCUCACUCAGCACAGAUUGAUCAGCCCCUGGCUCCUGCCCACUCCUAUAAAACACUACAAACAUAAAAACCCACAAGCACUUAAGAGCCGUCCUGGUGAGGAGGUGGGGGGGAAUAUGGGGGGGAGGAGACGGCAGGCAGAAACAUCCUCCUCUUUACACCCCUCAAUCACUCCGUCCGGAGAAGGAGAGAGCGAGAUGGAGGGGAGGAUAUAUUGUCUCUGAUGGGCUAGCUGAUUAAGAUGGAUUGCACAAUGAAAUGUCUUUGGAGUGAUGAGUUCGUGGAGUGUGCGCGCGCGAGUGUGUGUGUGUGUGGAUACGACGUCUCUGCAACUAACUUUGCAUUAAAACCUUUUUUCAAAUUGAUUAAAUGCAAAUUUGCUUAGCUCUACUGAGCUGCAUUUUCACUCGCAAAAGUUUUAUUCCUCAUUUCCAUUCCAGCACUUACUCUCAGCCGCCGUUGUGUUUAUCUUGUUUGACAUUAAAGACCUUUUAUUUUUGGCCUACCUUCUUUUUUUUCUCCAUGUAGAAUUGAACUUUAAUUAAAAAAGAUUUCAAAAC